UUGCUUUAAAAUGACUGAGUAGNNNACGGGUGAGUAACGCUUAAGAAUCUGCCCUUAGGAAAAGGACACUAACCCGAAAGGUCUCGAAUACUUUAUAAGCUGAGAAGUGAAAUGGAUUAAUCUCCGCCUAAGGAUGAGCUUGAGUCUGAUUAGCUUGUUGGUGGGGUAAAGGCUUACCAAGGCGACUAUCAGUAGUUGGUCUGAGAGGAUGACCAGCCACAUUGGGACUGAGACACGGCCCAGACUUCUACGGAAGGCAGCAGUGAGGAAUUUUCCGCAAUGGGCGAAAGCCUGACGGAGCAAUGCCGCGUGAAGGAUGAAGNNNNNNNNNUUGUAAACUUCUUUUCUUAGAGAAGAAAAUGACGGUAUCUAAGGAAUAAGCAUCGGCUAAAAAAUUGGCCCUCAAUUUUGUGAAAAAUUGUGAUUAAAUUCGGCUCAUAACGGUGAAACCCAAACGAUCUUAAAGCUAUUUAGAGGCGUGGGCAAUACCGUGGGAAGAUUUGAAAAUUUUGUACUAAAAAAAGGUUACAGAAACUUAUGGCUUUAGACACACUUAUUUUGAGUAAAGAAGAGGAAGCUGUUUUUUUAGGAAACCUUUUGGGAGAUGGUCAUAUCCAAAAACGCGGAAAUUCUUAUCGUACAAAAAUACAACAUUCAAUUCAUCAGAAAGAAUAUGUUUUGUGGAAAUAUGAGAAGUUAAAACGUUUAUGUGAUAAAAAUCAUUUACCAAAAGCAGUGACUACUAAAAACUCUACGCAAGAAAAUUUUUUGUUUUAUCUAAAUUCCGGUUUGUAUUUGGAAAAGUAUCAUUCUUUAUUUUAUAAACCUUAUUUUUGGAAGGCUGGGGCCCCGGACAUUGUUCAAAAUACCCCCUCCUCUCCCCAAAACAAAAUUCGUUAUCAAAAAGUGAUAACUCAAGCGCUCAUUGAGGCUUUACCUCGAGACCCUCUUUUAUUAGCGGUUUGGUUUUUAGACGACGGCUCUUGUAGACAAGAUGUUUUCAGUGGACGCAUAGCAACUCAAAGUUUUACUCUUGAAGAGCAGCAUCUAUUGCAAGAUUAUUUAAAACAAGGAUUUGGUAUUAAUACUCAAUUGGUUCUUCACAACCGAAUCAAAAGACAGUAUUAUAUAUCUAUUCCUUCGUCAAAAAACCAAUUUGCAAACUUUGUCGAUUUAAUCAAACCUGUUGUUGAAAAAAUACCUGAUUUAAAAUACAAAAUCAAAAAUCCCCGUAACGACUGAGGAAACCUUCAAACCUUUUCAGGUUAGGGAGUACGAGAUAAACUUUUCAAGUUUAGAUACCGCAGCUUUUUCUUCGACCCGCAGUAUCUAAAUGAUAAAUUUAAAUAAAUUAUUUAAAGAUAGAUAAAAGUUUAUAACACGCCGAACCCUUUUCGUCUUUGUCUUGAAAACAAAAAGGUGAUGGUAUAGUCUGUGCCAAGUGAAAGCUUGGAUUUUUUUCUGAGAAGCAAGCCGCUAAGACGCCAAGGUUCUAACCUUGGCAAUGAAAAGCUUGAAGAAAAAACACGAACCCUGUGCCAGCAGCCGCGGUAAUACAGGGGAUGCAAGCGUUAUCCGGAAUGAUUGGGCGUAAAGCGUCUGCAGGUGGUUUAAAAAGUCUAGUGUCAAAGCCCAAGGCUUAACCUUGGAUCGGCAAUGGAAACUUUUAGACUGGAGUGCGGUUGAGGUAGAUGGAAUUACCGGUGUAACGGUGAAAUGUGCAGAUAUCGGUAAGAACACCAACGGCGAAAGCAAUCUACUGGGCCAAAACUGACACUGAGAGACGAAAGCUAGGGGAGCGAAUAGGAUUAGAUACCCUAGUAGUCCUAGCUGUAAACGAUGGAAACUAAGUAUUGAGCGAAAGAGCAGUACUGUASSUAACGCGUUAAGUUUCCCGCCUGGGAAGUAUGCUCGCAAGAGUGAAACUCAAAGAAAUUGACGGGGGCCCGCACAAGCGGUGGAGCAUGUGGUUUAAUUCGAUGCAACGCGAAGAACCUUACCGGGGAUUGACAUUUUGCGCAUUUUUUGGAAACGAAAAAGUUCAAACGCAUAAACAGGUGGUGCAUGGCUGUCGUCAGCUCGUGUCGUGAGACGUAAGGUUAAGUCCUGUAACGAGCGCAACCCUUAUUGCUAGUUGCUUUUAAGGAAACUAGUGAGACUGCCAGUUAUAAGCUGGAGGAAGGUGAGGAUGACGUCAAGUCAGCAUGCCCCUUAAAUCCCGGGCUACACACGUGCUACAAUGGUUGGGACAAAAAGAAGCUAACUCGUGAGAGCACGCAAACCUUAAAAACCCAAUCUCAGUUCGGAUUGGAGGCUGCAACUCGCCUCCAUGAAGCCGGAAUCGCUAGUAAUCGCAGGUCAGCCAUACUGCGGUGAAUACGUUCCCGGGCCUUGUACACACCGCCCGUCACACCAUGGAAGCUGAUUGGGCCCGAAGUCGUUGUAAACGCCUAAGGCACAGUUAGUGACUGGGGUGAAGUCGUAACAAGGUAGNNNNNCUGGAAGGUGGCCCUGGAUCACCUCCUUC
rnacentral:rRNA from 1 species